AUGCCUGACCAAAGUUGUGGAAUUAAUGAAAGGCCUGUUCGGAUGGACGUCUUUUUACGCUGCUUUUGUGAUUGGCUUGCUGCAGACACGCACUCACUGUCCCACUGUAGCAAUAUAAAAGGAAUAAUACACUCCCUUUCACCUCCUACCACAAGGUUACCCUCACUGUACCACGGGAUGAUGGCCUCACCCUCCCACACACCCCCUUUCUUUCUUCUCGGUGUCCCCUCGUCUCACUCCCCUCCCUUUCCCUGCAGUAAUCUUUCUAAAUCUCUUGCUUGCUAAUCCUUUCCGUGCCUAUUUUCGUACGGACCCCCCUCCCCCUAAACAUCCCAGCUUCUUCUGCUUCAAUAUAAACAUGGCAGUUGUCCGGAAUAACUUAAGAACUCCUUACAAAGCAAUAAUGAGAUCAGUGAAUGGAUGCAGUCUUCCUGAAGAUAUGUGUGCGAUCUAUGCCAUGCUGUCACAAUGCAUACCUUGUAGUCUGUCAUUUAAACUAGGCUUGAGAGAUGAGUGGUAUUUUAAGUUGAUGUAUGCACAUUGAUUUAAGUCUUGUUUGUCGAGUUUUAAUGUGGAUUAUGUGGUCUAAUUUUCCUUCUUUACUCUCCCCGUUUGUUUCAUCCUUCUGUCUUGGCCUCGCCCUUCUCUCUUCUUUUUUCAGUGAACAGAUUUUGGUGAGAAUCAAGUUAUGAACGUAAUGCUUAUGAUCAAGCAACAAUGUUAUUACAAAUUAAAAUACUUUUAUUACUUGUCUAUUUAAAUCUUUUUUUUUUUUUUUUUUUUUUUUUUUAAGAUUGGGUUUUCAUGAAUGGAUCCUAUUAUGAAAAAUGUAUGGACUUUUUAAAAUGCACAUUAAAAUGUGUUAUAUUUAUCCUCUUUAGACACACAGUGACGUUGAGCAACUUUGCCCGAGAUUAUGCUGAGCAUCCUUGCAGCUGGCUCCAAUAUUCUUCCCAGGCCUCUUCCUGCUGUCCAAGCGAUUCCUGAAACAUGCUCCUGGGCUCAAAUGGAGCGAGAAGGAUGCUGUCAUCGUCUCGUCCAGGUAAAUAAAGGGAAGAGAAAGUGAGAUGUGUUGAAAGAUGCUGUCAGGCUCAAGCUACCUGCUUUCAUUUACUUGUGUAUCUGUGCUAUUUUUUGUUUUUUGUUUAUAAAAGUUACAAGUCCAUCAUUGUAUUUUUGUGUGAUUAUUAAGGUUCAGUUAAAAGGAUAAUAUGACAAACCAGUUGUUUUUAGUUGUUUAACUGUAUCAGUCAAUGUGACUCUUAUAUGUUGUAUAUGUAAUAUGCAUAAAAUAUGCAUCAAUAAAACUGGCUCUAGCUUAGAUUUUAAAAAUAAAUUGUUAAAGUUACUAAAAUAUUUGAAGCUGGUUGCCUGAAAUGAAUGGGGAUGAUGAUCCCAUAAUGAUCAAAUAUCUGCAGAUUCAUCGGUCUGUUACUAAAUGUGUUUCUGGUAAGUUUAUGUGAAAUGUGUCUGAUUAAAAUCUGCUGAGUAAAGAUGUUGCAUGUAAGGUUACAUUUGAUUGCAGUGCAUGUCUGAUGCAUCAUUGUGUUUUUCUGCUUAGCUAGGAGAGUUACGGAGUAAUAUCCUGCUUAAAUGGCUCUUUCUUCAACUUGUGUCAUCAAAAUCUGCUAUUAAUGGUUUCGAAUAUCUCCUAUCCAAGGGUGUUUGCAGUCUGUUUUGGU
rnacentral:lncRNA from 1 species